CGGGAGGCAGCAGUGGGGAAUUUUCCGCAAUGGGCGAAAGCCUGACGGAGCAAUACCGCGUGAGGGAAGAAUGCCUAUGGGUUGUAGACCUCUUUUUUCAGGGAGGAAUAAAUGACGUGUACCUGAAGAAUAAGCAUCGGCUAACUCCGUGCCAGCAGCCGCGGUAAGGCGGAGGAUGCAAGUGUUAUCCGGAAUCACUGGGCGUAAAGCGUCUGUAGGUGGUUAAACAAGUCAACUGUUAAAUCUUGAGGCUUAACUUCAAAAUCGCAGUCGAAACUAUUUGACUAGAGUAUAGUAGGGGUAAAGGGAAUUUCCAGUGGAGCGGUGAAAUGCGUAGAUAUUGGAAAGAACACCGAUGGCGAAGGCACUUUACUGGGCUAUUACUGACACUCAGAGACGAAAGCUAGGGUAGCAAAUGGGAUUAGAUACCCCAGUAGUCCUAGCCGUAAACAAUGGAUACUAGAUGUUGAACAGAUCGACCUGUGCAGUAUCAAAGCUAACGCGUUAAGUAUCCCGCCUGGGAAGUAUGCUCGCAAGGGUGAAACUCAAAGGAAUUG
rnacentral:rRNA from 1 species